AAGCAGUCACAACGCGUCACGGAACCGGUGAAACUUGGACAAUCGAGACCGCAACUUUAUAUUCCACGUACGACUAAAUGAUUGGUGGAGUAAUAUAUUUAAUUAAUUUAUUAAGGUGAGGCUUUGCAAUGGGCUAGAGCUCGCUAAACUACGAUACCAAGUGCAGUAAGUACUCUGUAAGAGCUUCUACCGUUUGCUGAGGUGGUACCGUUUUCUUUUGUUUA